rnacentral:rRNA from 1 species
UACAGAGGUCCCGAGCGUUGUUCGGAUUCACUGGGCGUAAAGGGUGCGUAGGUGGUGAGGUAAGUCGGAUGUGAAAGCUCGGAGCUCAACUCCGAAAUGGCAUUGGAAACUACCUUGCUCGAGGGUUGGAGGGGGGACUGGAAUGCUUGGUGUAGCAGUGAAAUGCGUAGAUAUGCGGAGGAACACCGAUGGCGAAGGCAAUCCCCUGGACCUGUACUGACGCUCAUGCACGAAAGCGUGGGGAGCAAACAGG